CGGCAACAGCUCAAAUUUGAAAUCUGACCUUUGGUCUGAGUUGUAAUUUGUAGAGGAUGUUUCGGGCAACACCGUGGUUUAAAUUCCUUGGAACAGGAUAUCAUAGAGGGUGAGAAUCCCGUCUUGAACCGUCUGUGGCGUCCAUGUGAAACUCCUUCGAC
rnacentral:rRNA from 1 species